rnacentral:rRNA from 1 species
UGAACAAAGCUAUGCGGCGGACGGGUGAGUAACACGUGGGCUACCUGCCUCUUAUAGGGGAAUAGCCUCCCGAAAGGUAGAUUAAUACCGCAUAAGAUUGUAGCUUCGCAUGAAGUAGCAAUUAAAGGAGCAAUCCGCUAUGAGAUGGGCCCGCGGCGCAUUAGCUAGUUGGUGAGGUAACGGCUCACCAAGGCGACGAUGCGUAGCCGACCUGAGAGGGUGAUCGGCCACAUUGGGACUGAGACACGGCCCAAACUCCUACGGGAGGCAGCAGUGGGGAAUAUUGCACAAUGGGCGCAAGCCUGAUGCAGCAACGCCGCGUGAGUGAUGACGGCCUUCGGGUUGUAAAGCUCUGUCUUCAGGGACGAUAAUGACGGUACCUGAGGAGGAAGCCACGGCUAACUACGUGCCAGCAGCCGCGGUAAUACGUAGGUGGCGAGCGUUGUCCGGAUUUACUGGGCGUAAAGGGAGCGUAGGCGGACUUUUAAGUGAGAUGUGAAAUACCCGGGCUCAACUUGGGUGCUGCAUUUCAAACUGGAAGUCUAGAGUGCAGGAGAGGAGAAUGGAAUUCCUAGUGUAGCGGUGAAAUGCGUAGAUAUAUGGAAGAACACCAGUGGCGAAGGCGGCUGUCUGGUCUGUAACUGACGCUCAGUCCCGAAAGCGUGGGUAGCGAACAGGAUUAGAUACCCUGGUAGUCCAUGCCGUAAACGAUGAAUGCUAGGUGUUGGAGGGUUUCCGCCCUUCAGUGCCGCAGCUAACGCAUUAAGCAUUCCGCCUGGGGAGUACGACCGCAAGGUUGAAACUCAAAGGAAUUGACGGGGGCCCGCACAAGCGGUGGAGCAUGUGGUUUAAUUCGAAGCAACGCGAAGAACCUUACCAGGUCUUGACAUCCCUCUGACCACUCUAGAGAUAGAGUUUUCCUUCGGGACAGAGGUGACAGGUGGUGCAUGGUUGUCGUCAGCUCGUGCCGUGAGAUGUUGGGUUAAGUCCCGCAACGAGCGCAACCCUUAUUGUUAGUUGCCAUCAUUCAGUUGGGCACUCUAGCGAGACUGCCGGUAAUAAACCGGAGGAAGGUGGGGAUGACGUCAAAUCAUCAUGCCCCUUAUGACCUGGGCUACACACGUGCUACAAUGGUUGGUACAACGAGUCGCAAGUCGGUGACGGCAAGCAAAUCUCUUAAAGCCAAUCUCAGUUCGGAUUGUAGGCUGCAACUCGCCUACAUGAAGUCGGAAUCGCUAGUAAUCGCGGAUCAGCACGCCGCGGUGAAUACGUUCCCGGGCCUUGUACACACCGCCCGUCA